rnacentral:rRNA from 1 species
UACGUAGGGCGCAAGCGUUGUCCGGAAUUAUUGGGCGUAAAGAGCUCGUAGGCGGUCUGUCGCGUCUGCCGUGAAAACCCGAGGCUUAACCUCGGGCUGGCGGUGGAUACGGGCAGACUAGAGGUAGGUAGGGGAGAAUGGAAUUCCCGGUGUAGCGGUGAAAUGCGCAGAUAUCGGGAGGAACACCGGUGGCGACGGCGGUUCUCUGGGCCUUACCUGACGCUGAGGAGCGAAAGCGUGGGGAGCGAACAGG